UGUACCCAACUGUGCAGAGCAAGCACAGGAGUGAACAAGCUCAGGUGGGAAAGUCAAAAUCCACAAAAAGAUGGAGUAGCUUCUUUUAGAAGGUGACAACUUGAGGAGACUUUUGCUUUCAUCAGCUUUCCCUUCGCCAGGUUUACAUACAAGCCUCAGAGUCCUGGGAUUCCAGAGACAUGCCUGGAGAUCAUCAGCUGAGAAGUUUAAUUUACAAAACCAGUUUUUUGCAAUGCUGACAAAGACAUGGCCAGUACCUGGAAUAGAGUGCACUUCACCCGCUUUCUGCCUGGUCUGCUGAGGCCUGCCCUUCCUGGUUGUGAUCCUACAGUGAUUCCACAAAGAUGAGCAGAUUUGUACACAAGGUACGUUUUAGCAUUCAAAGUGCUGAGGAAAUUAUGAACAUAUCCCUUGUGUCUCCAAGAAAACAACAAGAGAAGUUUGAAGUUCUGGGAGUUUUAAAACAUCUUUGAGCAGGUGUCCAUGUUGACUAUUCAAUUCUGUUGCAAAUGUGUUUGAAUGAUAUUUCAGUCAUUUGCAUCAACAUCUGUGGUAUUCACAUGCCCUCUGAACAGAGAGCAGAGAAGAAGGAAAACACAAUUCUUAUCUCGCUUGCUGUGCCUGUGUUGUGCUAAAGUAGAAUGCAAUAUGGAGAUUGUUUACCCAAAGUGAAGAUGUUUUGUUCCCUUGCCUAUCAAGGCCAAGAAGUGUUGUGUGUGUGGGACUGUCAUGGGACAGUCAAAAGAGAAUCAGAGAUGAGUGCAGUUCUGUGCAGUUGUGAGCAAGGGUGAGUGCUUGGCAGAUUCAGUUUAGAUACAAUGUACAUAGUAUAGCAUAAUAAACUAAUUCAUUGGCCUUCUGAUAAUGGAGUCAGAUGCAUCAUUCUCUCUCCUCUCGGUCCGAGUCGCCCUUUGA